AGUCAUAUGCUUGUCUCAAAGAUUAAGCCAUGCAUGUCUCAGUACAAGCCAAAUUAAGGUGAAACCGCGAAAGGCUCAUUAAAUCAGUUAUGGUUCCUUAGAUCGUACCCACAUUUACUUGGAUAACUGUGGUAAUUCUAGAGCUAAUACACGCAAACAGAGCUCCGACCAGAGAUGGAAGGAGUGCUUUUAUUAGAUCAAAACCAAUCGGCGGCAGGCACUUGUGUCUGUUCGUCGCCCUUUUUGGUGACUCUGAAUAACUUUAUGCUGAUCGCACGGUCUUGCACCGGCGACGCAUCUUUCAAAUGUCUGCCUUAUCAACUGUCGAUGGUAGGUUCUGCGCCUACCAUGGUUGUAACGGGUAACGGGGAAUCAGGGUUCGAUUCCGGAGAGGGAGCCUGAGAAACGGCUACCACAUCCAAGGAAGGCAGCAGGCGCGCAAAUUACCCACUCCCGGCACGGGGAGGUAGUGACGAAAAAUAACGAUACGGGACUCAUCCGAGGCCCCGUAAUCGGAAUGAGUACACUUUAAAUCCUUUAACCAGGACCAAUUGGAGGGCAAGUCUGGUGCCAGCAGCCGCGGUAAUUCCAGCUCCAAUAGCGUAUAUUAAAGUUGUUGCGGUUAAAAAGCUCGUAGUUGAAUCUGUGUCCCGUGCUGUCGGUUCACCGCCCGCGGUGCUAACUGGCACGUCUCACGGGACGUCCUGCCGGUGGAAGGUUAAUCUUCGUGUGCUGUCUGGGGUCUGAACGUUCGCGUACAGAAUUCCCGGGUGCACGGCGAUCCUUCCGACUUUUAUAAAUCCUGUCGCGGUGCUCUUAAUUGAGUGUCGAGGCGGGCCGGCACGUUUACUUUGAACAAAUUAGAGUGCUCAAAGCAGGCUAAAAUUUCGCCUGAAUACUGUGUGCAUGGAAUAAUGGAACAGGACCUCGGUUCUAUUUUGUUGGUUUUCGGAACCCCGAGGUAA
rnacentral:rRNA from 1 species